UGGGGAAUAUUGCACAAUGGGCGGAAGCCUGAUGCAGCGACGCCGCGUGAGGGAUGACGGCCUUCGGGUUGUAAACCUCUUUCAGCAGGGACGAAGCGAAAGUGACGGUACCUGCAGAAGAAGCGCCGGCCAACUACGUGCCAGCAGCCGCGGUAAGACGUAGGGCGCGAGCGUUGUCCGGAUUUAUUGGGCGUAAAGAGCUCGUAGGCGGCUUGUCGCGUCGACUGUGAAAACCCGCGGCUCAACCGCGGGCCUGCAGUCGAUACGGGCAGGCUAGAGUUCGGUAGGGGAGACUGGAAUUCCUGGUGUAGCGGUGAAAUGCGCAGAUAUCAGGAGGAACACCGGUGGCGAAGGCGGGUCUCUGGGCCGAUACUGACGCUGAGGAGCGAAAGCGUGGGGAGCGAACAGG
rnacentral:rRNA from 1 species